rnacentral:lncRNA from 1 species
UUACAGGGGCCAUUUCCCCCAUGCUGUUCUCAUGAUAAUCUGAAAGAAACGUACCAUCUAUUCUUCGAAGGCUGCAACCAGUGAGGUUUCAUCUACAUAACAAGACCACCUUUGGCGGCCAGGCCUCCUCUUCUCUCCCUCCCAUUACCUGUUUUGCCAUUAUAACCUGAUUUACCACUAUAACCUGUUUUUGCCUGUGCUCUGGACUCCCAUUCUUUCUGUAACCUCAAGAUGAUAUGUAAGCUUCUGCACCCCAUUGGUGAGUUGAGCAGUCACUCUGUGGUUCUCCCUGUGCUCACAUUAAUAAAAUC